rnacentral:misc_RNA from 1 species
AAGUUUUUGGGUUUUAAACAAGUUCACAAUUCAUUUUCGUAUGGCCAAAACAACACGCUCCUUGUGGGUCAAGGUUGUAGUUAUCCAGGUUACCUGUGGAAAAACCCACCCGCCAAAAGCAUCAGUUGUUCUUGUGGACAUCAAUUGAAGGUUCUAAUGUAAAUCAGACUCCAGUUCUGCUUCCUUUUGCAGUAAAAAGGAAAAGUGCCUUGUAGUUCUGGUG